rnacentral:rRNA from 1 species
GGUAUGUUAAGCUCUAUCAGCAGGGAAGAUAAUGACGGUACCUGACUAAGAAGCACCGGCUAAAUACGUGCCAGCAGCCGCGGUAAUACGUAUGGUGCAAGCGUUAUCCGGAUUUACUGGGUGUAAAGGGAGCGCAGGCGGUGCGGUAAGUCUGAUGUGAAAGCCCGGGGCUCAACCCCGGUACUGCAUUGGAAACUGUCGUACUAGAGUGUCGGAGGGGUAAGCGGAAUUCCUAGUGUAGCGGUGAAAUGCGUAGAUAUUAGGAGGAACACCAGUGGCGAAGGCGGCUUACUGGACGAUAACUGACGCUGAGGCUCGAAAGCGUGGGGAGCAAACAGGAUUAGAUACCCUGGUAGUCCACGCCGUAAA